rnacentral:sRNA from 1 species
AGCAGCCGCGGUAAUUCCAGCUCCAAUAGCGUAUAUUAAAGUUGUUGCAGUUAAAAAGCUCGUAGUUGAAUUUCGGGAUCAAGGAAUCGGUCAUGCCUUGGUAUGUACUGGUUUUAUUGGUUCUCACCUUCUAAAGAACCAUAAUGUCAUUUAUUUGAUGUUAUGGGGAAUUAGGACUGUUACCUUGAAAAAAUUAGAGUGUUUAAAGCAAGCUUACGCUUGAAUACAUUAGCAUGGAAUAAUGAAAUAGGACAUCAGAUUCUAUUUUGUUGGUUUCUAGGAUCGAUGUAAUGAUUAAUAGGGAUAGUUGGGGGCAUUAGUAUUCAAUUGUCAGAGGUGAAAUUCUUGGAUUUAUUGAAGACUAACUACUGCGAAAGCAUUUGCCAAGGAUGUUUUCAUUAAUCAAGAACGAAAGUUAGGGGAUCGAAGACGAUCAGAUACCGUCGUAGUCUUAACCAUAAACUAUGCCGACUAGGGAUCGGAUGAUGUAAUUUUUUAAUGACU